rnacentral:rRNA from 1 species
CAGCCGCCGCGGUAAUACGUAGGUGGCAAGCGUUGUCCGGAAUUAUUGGGCGUAAAGCGCGCGCAGGUGGUUUAAUAAGUCUGAUGUGAAAGCCCACGGCUCAACCGUGGAGGGUCAUUGGAAACUGUUAAACUUGAGUGCAGGAGAGAAAAGUGGAAUUCCUAGUGUAGCGGUGAAAUGCGUAGGGAUUAGGAGGAACACCAGUGGCGAAGGCGGCUUUUUGGCCUGUAACUGACACUGAGGCGCGAAAGCGUGGGGAGCAAACAGGAUUAGAUACCCCCGUAGUCCCUGUCUCUUAUAA